rnacentral:rRNA from 1 species
UACGUAGGGUGCAAGCGUUGUCCGGAAUUAUUGGGCGUAAAGAGCUCGUAGGCGGUCUGUCGCGUCUGCUGUGAAAACCUAGGGCUUAACUCUGGGCGUGCAGUGGGUACGGGCAGGCUAGAGUGCGGUAGGGGAGACUGGAAUUCCUGGUGUAGCAGUGAAAUGCGCAGAUAUCAGGAGGAACACCGGUGGCGAAGGCGGGUCUCUGGGCCGUAACUGACGCUGAGGAGCGAAAGCAUGGGGAGCGAACAGG